GACGAACGCUGGCGGCGUGCUUAACACAUGCCAGUCGAACGGUGAAGCUCCAGCUUGCUGGGGUGGAUCAGUGGCGAACGGGUGAGUAACACGUGAGCAACCUGCCCCUGACUCUGGAAUAAGCGCUGGAAACGGCGUCUAAUACUGGAUACGAGAAGGGUCCGCAUGGGCACUUUCUGGAAAGUUUUUCGGUUGGGGAUGGGCUCGCGGCCUAUCAGCUUGUUGGUGAGGUAAUUGCUCACCAAGGCGACGACGGGUAGCCGGCCUGGGAGGGCGAACGGGCACAAUGGGACUGCGACACGGCGCAGACUCCAACGGGAGGCAGCAGUGGGGAAUAUUGCACAAUGGGGGAAAGCCUGAUGCAGCGACGCCGCGUGAGGGAUGACGGCCUUCGGGUUGUAAACCGCUUUCAGCAGGGAAGAAGCGAAAGUGACGGUACCUGCAGAAGAAGCACCGGCUAACUACGUG
rnacentral:rRNA from 1 species